AUAAAACGACAAACAAGGGUGUGUUUGCGAUGGAAAAGGAGCUGAUCUGGAUGCAAGCAGUGCAUGUUUAAUUUCUGCUUUUCUUCUCUCUCAGCCGGGGGCGGGUUCCAAAUUCUUAAAUUUCAGGUCAAAACAGAGAGGAUUGAAAGAGAUUUUGAGCUGACAGCGCUUUGUAGAGGAUCAGUGCGUGAAGAAGAACCUGGUCCAAAAAUGGGGGAGGAAAACAGAGCACCCAGAGGAAACCCACACAGACACAGGGAGAAUGUGCAAACUCCACACAGACAGACGCCCCGAGGGUGGAUUCAAAUCCCGGUCCCUGGCGCUGUGAAGCAGCAGUGCUAACCACUGAGCCAUUGUGCUGCACCAAAACAGGUUCAACUGACUUCAGGUAACCAGACAGUACUGUCCCCCAACAACAUUAUAAUGGACCAUCAGCACAAUGCAGAGACCAAACAUGAACUUGUACGGCAGUGAGACAAGGGGACACCCAGCAGAGAUACAGUCCAAUAUUGAAGGCUGCUGUAAUGUUUCUUCUGGUGAAGUUCACAAUUCUCUCACAUCUGCCCUACCUCAGCAGCAACAGGUUCCUGCAGAUGUUGUGAAGGAGACGGAUGUAUUCCGACGCAGCCCGCAGUACGUGCACUUUGCUGGGUUUCCGGUCUUUACGGAUCAGCGGAACGAUGCUUUUGAGCUUUGAAAAGCCGCCGUUUAUGCUCUGGACCUGAAAUGAGAAGCACAUUGCCUGGCUAUCACAAAGAGAUGCACAGGGCCUUUACAGUUGACUGAUGUUUAACUCAUCUACUUUGAGACCGGAGAGAUCUGCUAAUACACUUGAGGAUCUAGCACUUCUUUGAGAGAGCUGAUAGAGGUUUAAAGACUAGAAUAAAUCUUCUUCACCUCGUCGUUUAUUUGCUGCAUCAGUUUUAAAUGAUUUGAAACAUACUAAGAGCCACCACUCCAUCGGCAGAAGCUUCUGUAGUCUGCAAUCGUACAGCAACACAGCGCAAGAGUCCAUUUGGCUCUCUGAAUCCAUGCUAGCCCUCCUCUCUCUCGUCAGUUCCCA